UCCCGGUUGGCCCGGGCAGUCUCGUAUGAAAAAUACAACAUACGACAAGGGUUGCGCUCGUUGCGGGACUUAACCCAACAUCUCACGACACGAGCUGACGACGGCCAUGCAGCACCUGUCACCGCGUUCCGGCAGCCAAUGCACGAUUAUGAUAAAUCCUGCACUCGCUGCCGGCACCCUCGCAUUUCUGCAAGGUUCGCGGGAUGUCAAGCCUUGGUGAGGUUCUCCGCGUAUCGUCAAAUUAAACCACAUCAUCCUCCGCUUGUGCGGGUCCCCGUCAAUUCCUUUGAGUUUUAGCCUUGCGGCCGUACUUCCCAGGCGGCAUACUUAACGCGUUAGCUUCGCCGCACAGGGGGUCGAUACCCCAUACGGCUAGUAUGCAUCGUUUACGGCGUGGACU
rnacentral:misc_RNA from 1 species